AGUUCGGAUUGGAGGCUGAAACUCGCCUCCAUGAAGUUGGAUUCGCUAGUAAUCGCGCAUCAGCCAUGGCGCGGUGAAUACGUUCCCGGGCCUUGUACACACCGCCCGUCAAGCCAUGGGAGUUGGGGGUGCCUGAAGUACGUGACCGCAAGGAGCGUCCUAGGGCAAAACCGAUGACUGGGGCUAAGUCGUAACAAGGUACC
rnacentral:rRNA from 1 species